CGUAGGGGCGUAGCGUUGUCCGGAAUCAUUGGGCGUAAAGAGCGUGUAGGCGGCCCGGUAAGUCCGCUGUGAAAGUCGGGGGCUCAACCCUCGAAUGCCGGUGGAUACUGUCGGGCUAGAGUGCGGAAGAGGCGAGUGGAAUUCCCUGGUGUAGCGGUGAAAUGCGCAGAUAUCAGGAGGAACACCAAUUGCGAAGGCAGCUCGCUGGGACGUAACUGACGCUGAGACGCGAAAGCGUGGGAGCAAACAGGAUU
rnacentral:rRNA from 1 species